UAUUAGGAUAUGAUAACAUUAAAUAUUUUGUUUUAUCCAUUAAAGUGUAAAAUCUAUGAUAAGGGGUGGGAGGGGUCAAUGACAUCUAGUAAUAUCUCAUUGCACUGAAAUAAGUGAACUCUAAACAGCAUCCUUAUGCAUUUCUUUGCUGUUCAUUGCAUGAAUUAGUAUUUUCAAUUUUAUUACUUUGACGCCAACCGCCGGUGCUCCCUCUGGUUCGCACAGGCCGUUAUGUCACAACAACACUUACUUAAGUGCAUCGAACAUGCCCGAGCGUGAUGUCCGCCGAGUGAGUGCAAGUGCACCGCGACGAACACCAAGUCGAUUACAGCGCCCGGCCGGGUGUGGCAAUGCGCUAAACUAAAUCAUUAAUUAUUCUUUCAAAUCAAAAACAACCAAUUUAAUAACAAUUUAAAAGAGAAUUAAUUCAAGGGAAAUUAUGCCCAAUUGUUCUAUAAUCUAAUCAUAUAUUGUGAAAUAUGUCUUUUAAGUCCAAAACUGGUCGGAGCUGUUUUCCCGCGCUUCACGUGCCUUGGCGCGGAGGCGCGCGGCGCCUCCGCGCUCAGUUACCGUCGGGAGCUCGCAGGGGUCGGUCGCUCCGCGAACGCAGAGCCUUCAACUUUCGUGCUACAUCCAAGUCUCAGCAAUAGUGUCGAAGAAGGAAGAAAUCAGGCGCUUGUGUCAACGGCCAAGGCAUGCAGGCAUGCCUGAAUCACAUCAAGCGCCUGCAGUGCGGCGGCCAGCUGGCCAUGUGUCUGGUCCUGUUCUUAGGCGUGAACGAUCUCCUAAGGGCAUGCUUCCUGAUGCAAGACUGCCAAAACGAAGAAGAGUAAAUCUAGAGUCUGAGAUUAAAUCCAUGCAAAGAAAACUAAGACAACAGCAAAAGACUAUAUCAAAGCAACGCAAGUUAAUUAACAUGCUGCGAGGAGACCUUUCAUCCUUGAAAAAAGAAAAUUCAGCAUUGAAUGUGAAGAACCUACCUAACUGUCUGCAGAAAAACAGCCUUUUAAUGUCUAUGCUCAAGAACCAAAAUAAGAAAUGUAGAGGCCGUCGCUACACAGAACAUGAUAAAACAUUUGCUUCUGCUAUUUAUUGUUGUUCACCAAAAGCAUACAAUUUUUUUGCAAAAAAUAUUUUGAUAUAUUUGCGUUUGUGGCUUCGAAAUCUUUCUGUGGCUGCCGGGAUUAAUGGUAACAUCAUGAAGCUCCUGAAACUGAAAGUUACCCAGUUGCCUCUUGAGGAGCGUUUGGUUUCUCUUGUUGUGGACGAAAUGUCUUUAAAAGAGAAUAUUACACAUAAUGUUUGUGCCGAUGUUUUUGAAGGAUAUCCAAAAUGUUUGACAAGGUGGUUUGGGGUACUUAGAAUUUUGUUUGGUUUAAAACUGUGUGAAUUUAAUUUCAUAGAAGCUAAUGUCACUAAGAUUAUGAGUCAAAAUUGUUUCAAAUCCAGUAAACUUAGGGAAGAAACUUCAAAAAGGAAAGCUAUGUGAAUGUUAUGAUGAUGUGCAGCUACCCUAGUAAGCAUUGAUAAGGGGUCUAAUGUAUUUUGCUGUUAUCAGCAGACCAGAACUGGACAUAGCCCAUGCUGCGAAUGUUCUCAGCCAGUUCAAUACGUGCUAUAGUGAAUAUAUUAUUUUUGGUGUGAAUUUUUUAGGGUUGAAACUGUGGCUGGAAGUGAUUGUGUGUGUUAUAUGCAAAUUAAUUCAAUAAUGUGUUUUAAUAGCUUAUAAUGUUAUAAUUUCAAAAAGACAGCACUGUCAUGCUUCUUAAGCAAUGAGUUAAGAUUUACGGAAGCAACUUUAGCAUUUGUAAAUUUAUAGAUAUUAUUAUUAUUUCUGUUUAAACUGGUAAGGGGUGAGGCAGAACUAUAUAAAAGGAAUAGGAGUAAUUUUUAUUAACUGUAAAACGGGUCCUUGCUUAGAACAGGUUCUAGUAAACUAUUAUUGAUUUUUGUCUGCUACACUACAUUUCCCCCCCUAAACUCUCUUCAAAUAGAAAAUAGUCCUGUAUCCACCUGUGGUAUUUUUGUUUUGAGUGGUUCAUGUGAAAGUGUAGUUUGGUUUACAAAGUUCUUUUUAUAUAUUUUGCAGAUUCUUACUACAACUCUCAGAAAUUUUCACUGUAUGUUUUAAAUAGAAUUGCUCUGCUCCAUUCUAUAAUGACUUAUUUACUCUUUGCUUGCUCCCUUCCUUUCUGAAAAUUUGGAAAAUAGUUUUGUGCUACACUUGUGCAAGAUUGGAGCAUGAUUCCCAGUAUGUGAACUGUAGGCUGAAUUUGUACCUGCAUUGUAAUUCAGGUAUAAACUUUAAUUGGUUUAUAUCUAGCUGAACCCUUGAAUUUGUUUUUUUUUUGCUUGUAAUACUGUUGAGUUUACUUAUGGUCAAUUAGAAACUAUUAAUUUCAUUAUUUAAUUUUGCUUGCUUGUUGUUCACUAAAUUUGAGGUACGGUACACAAUGUUAUGAAUUUAACUUGCAAUAAAUUUUGAUAAGCAUA